rnacentral:lncRNA from 1 species
CUCCGUCCGAUAACGCUCCUGCCUGUGUUCUCUCUGUCAAGGAGUGCAAAAGCUUCGGUCACAGCGGAGUCCGGGGCAUCACAAGGGAAGAAGCCCACAGCCAAAGUAGCAGUCGUAGCUGGUCUAAAAAUAUGUCCCCAACAUGAAGAAAGGUCAGAAGAAGAGAAAGCCCCAUCAAUAUCCAUAAUAUAAUUGAAAUUAAAAAUAUUACAUUAAUGAGAGAGAUCCAAACUCUUCACUAACCCAUUGACGGAGGGAAAUGAAUCAUUCAAUACGAAUGACGUUUCACCAUCGUCGGAAAGCUACUGUGGGAACUUAGACUUGCGCCUGAGCUGGCUUCCAGACCAAAAGCCCUACU